GCGCCUGUAGCUCAACAGGAUAGAGUAUUGGGCUUCGAACCCAAGGGUUGCCCGUUCGACUCGGGCCAGGCGCA
rnacentral:tRNA from 1 species